rnacentral:rRNA from 1 species
CGCGUGGUUCUAUUUUGUUGGUUUCUAGGACCGCCGUAAUGAUUAAUAGGGACAGUCGGGGGCAUCAGUAUUCAAUUGUCAGAGGUGAAAUUCUUGGAUCUAUUGAAGACUAACUACUGCGAAAGCAUUUGCCAAGGAUGUUUUCAUUGAUAAGGAACGAAAGUUAGGGGAUCGAAGACGAUCAGAUACCGUCGUAGUCUUAACCAUAAACUAUGCCGACUAGGGAUCGGACGAUGUUAUUUUUUGACUCGUUCGGCACCUUUCGAGAAAUCAAAGUGCUUGGGCUCCAGGGGGAGUAUGGUCGCAAGGCUGAAACUUAAAGAAAUUGACGGAAGGGCACCACCAGGGGUGGGACCUGCGGCUUAAUUUGACUCAACACGGGGAAACUCACCAGGUCCAGACACAGUGAGGAUUGACAGAUUGAGAGCUCUUUCUUGAUUCUGUGGAAGGUGGUGCAUGGCCGUUCUUAGUUGGUGGAGUGAUUUGUCAGCUUAAUUGCGAUAACGAACGAGACCUUGACCUGCUAAAUAGCCCGANCUGCUUUGGCAGUUCGCUGGCUUCUUAGAGGGACUAUCGGCUCAAGCCGAUGGAAGUUCGUGGCAAUAACAGGUCUGUGAUGCCCUUAGAUGUCCUGGGCAGCACGCGCGUCACACUGACAGAGCCNGCGAGUUUUUCCUUGGUCGAAAGGCCCGGGUAAUCUUGUUAAACUCUGUCGUGC